GGAUGCGAUCAUACCAGCACUAAAGCAUCGGAUCCCAUCAGAACUUCGAAGUGAAGCGUGCUUGGGCGAGAGUAGUACUAGGAUGGGUGACCUCCUGGGAAGUCCUCGUGUUGCAUUCC
rnacentral:rRNA from 2 species